AGGUCUGGAUGAGUGCCAAUGUU
rnacentral:miRNA from 1 species